rnacentral:rRNA from 1 species
UAGCAUAUCNAUNAGCGGAGGAAAAGNAAAUAACCAUGAAUUCCCCUAGUAACGGCGAGUGAAAGAGGGAAAAGCUCAAAGUUGGAACCUGGCUGACUUAGUUGGUCCGGAUUGUAAACUAAAGAGUAAGACUCCAGGCAAGCCGGUUUACCAAGUUCCUUGGAAUAGGACGCCACUGAGGGUGAGAGCCCCGUAAGUAAACUGAGCAUCUGUCUUUUGUGUGUCUUGCUUAAAGAGUCAGGUUGUUUGGGAAUGCAGCCUAAAGUGGGUGGUAAAUCCCACCUAAAGCUAAAUACUGGCGAGAGACCGAUAGCGAACAAGUACCGUGAGGGAAAGAUGAAAAGAACUUUGAAAAGAGAGUUAAACAGUAUGUGAAAUUGCCAAGAGGGAAGCGUUUGGAGUUAGACUGACUGGAGGUCAAUCAACUUGGUUUUCGAACUGGGUGUACUUGGCNUUUAUGUCGGCCAGCAGCAGUUUGCUUUGAUGGAAAAUACUUGGGGAAAGGUAGUCCUUCGGGAUGUUUAUAGACCCUUGGAAGAUACAUUGGAGUAGACUGAGGAACGCAGUAGAUGCUUUCAGGCUUCGUCUUGUGGCUCUUGUGUGAGGUGGACUGGUGUUUUUCAGCCUAGCUGAUGCUCUGGUGCUCCAAGUUCAAGUAGUUAUUCGAACUGUAAUCUACUAUGGUUGCUGGCUUAAUGACUCUAAACGGCCCGUCUUGAAACACGGACCAAGGAGUCCACCACAAGUGCGAGUAUUUGGGUGGCAAACCCAGAAUGCGCAAUGAAAGUGACUUGAGUUACCAAGUCUUUUACAGACUGCAGUAACCUCCGGCAUCGACGUUUUAUACUAAAGUGACCGAGAGAAAGCACUUGUGAUGGGACCCGAAAGAUGGUGAACUAUGCUUGAGUAGGGNGAAGCCAGAGGAAACUCUGGUGGAGGCCNGAAGCGGUUCUGACGU